rnacentral:misc_RNA from 1 species
UGCGGGACGCAGCAGUGGGGAAUUUUGGACAAUGGGGAAACCUGAUCCAGCCAUCCCGCGUGUGCGAUGAAGGCCUUCGGGUUGUAAAGCACCUUUGGCAGGAAAGAAACGGCGCAGGUAAUACCCGUCACAGCUGACAGUACCUGCAGAAUAAGCACCGACGACUACGUGCCAGCAGCCGCGGUAAUACGUAGGGUGCAAGCGUUAAUCGGAAUUACUGGGCGUAAAGCGUGCGCAGGCGGUUCGGAAAGAAAAGAUGUGAAAUCCCAGAGCUUAACUUUGGAACUGCAUUUUUAACUACCGAGCUAGAGAGUGUGUCAGAGGAGGUGGAAUUCCGCGUGUAGCAGUGAAAUGCGUAGAUAUGCGGAAGACACCGAUAGCCCGAAGGCAGCCUCCCUGGGAUAACACUGACGCUCAUGCGAAAGCGUGAGGCAAACAGGAUUAGAUACCCGCGUAGU